UUGACCUCGGAUCAGGUAGGAAUACCCGCUGAACUUAAGCAUAUCAAUAAGCGGAGGAAAAGAAACCAACAGGGAUUGCCCUAGUAACGGCGAGUGAAGCGGCAACAGCUCAAAUUUGAAAUCUGGCUCUCGGGCCCGAGUUGUAAUUUGUAGAGGAUACUUUUGAUGCGGUGCCUUCCGAGUUCCCUGGAACGGGACGCCAUAGAGGGUGAGAGCCCCGUCUGGUUGGAUGCCAAAUCUCUGUAAAGUUCCUUCAACGAGUCGAGUAGUUUGGGAAUGCUGCUCUAAAUGGGAGGUAUAUGUCUUCUAAAGCUAAAUACCGGCCAGAGACCGAUAGCGCACAAGUAGAGUGAUCGAAAGAUGAAAAGCACUUUGAAAAGAGAGUUAAAAAGUACGUGAAAUUGUUUAAAGGGAAGCGUUUAUGACCAGACUUGGGCUUGGUUAAUCAUGUGGGGUUCUCCUCCAGUGCACUUUUCCAGUCCAGGCCAGCAUCAGUUUUCCCCGGGGGAUAAAGGCGGCGGGAAUGUGGCUCUCUUCGGGGAGUGUUAUAGCCCACCGUGUAAUACCCUGGGGGGGGAGUGAAGGUUCGCGCAUCUUGCAAGGAUGCUGGCGUAAUGGUCAUCAACGACCUGGUUUAAAA
rnacentral:rRNA from 1 species